rnacentral:rRNA from 1 species
GACAGAGGGUGUAAACGUUGCUCGGAAUCACUGGGCGUAAAGGGCGUGUAGGCGGGAAGGAAAGUCAGAUGUGAAAUCCCUGGGCUCAACCCAGGAACUGCAUUUGAAACUCCCUUUCUUGAGUGUCGGAGAGGAGAGCGGAAUUCCUGGUGUAGAGGUGAAAUUCGUAGAUAUCAGGAGGAACACCGGUGGCGAAGGCGGCUCUCUGGACGAUAACUGACGCUGAGACGCGAAAGCGUGGGGAGCAAACAGG